rnacentral:rRNA from 1 species
ACGCUCGACACCUACGAGAGGCAGCAGUGGGGAAUAUUGCACAAUGGGGGAAACCCUGAUGCAGCGACGCCGCGUGAGCGAAGAAGUAUUUCGGUACGUAAAGCUCUAUCAGCAGGGAAGAAACUGACGGUACCUGACUAAGAAGCACCGGCUAAAUACGUGCCAGCAGCCGCGGUAAUCUGAGCGGGCUGGCAAGGC